rnacentral:rRNA from 1 species
GUGCCAGCAGCCGCGGUAACACGGGGGGAGCGAGCGUUGUUCGGAAUCACUGGGCGUAAAGGGCGUGUAGGCGGCUCGGUAAGUGAGAUGUGAAAUCCCCCGGCUUACCCGGGGAACGGCAUCUCAUACUGCUGGGCUUGAGUGCGGGAGAGGAUGGGGGAAUUCCUGGUGUAGCGGUGAAAUGCGUAGAUAUCAGGAGGAACACCGGUGGCGAAGGCGCCCAUCUGGCCCGUUACUGACGCUGAGGCGCGAAAGCUAGGGGAGCAAACGGGAUUAGAAACCCCCGUAGUCC